GGAGAGUUCGCCUAGAUGGUCGAGGGCGCAUGACUGGAAAUCAUGUAUACCCGAAAGGGUAUCCAGGGUUCGAAUCCCUGACUCUCCGCCA
rnacentral:tRNA from 1 species